rnacentral:rRNA from 1 species
GAUGAACGCUGGCGGCGUGCCUAAUACAUGCCAGUCGAGCGAACAGACGAGGAGCUUGCUCCUCUGACGUUAGCGGCGGACGGGUGAGUAACACGUGGAUAACCUACCUAUAAGACUGGGAUAACUUCGGGAAACCGGAGCUAAUACCGGAUAAUAUAUUGAACCGCAUGGUUCAAUAGUGAAAGACGGUUUUGCUGUCACUUAUAGAUGGAUCCGCGCCGCAUUAGCUAGUUGGUAAGGUAACGGCUUACCAAGGCAACGAUGCGUAGCCGACCUGAGAGGGUGAUCGGCCACACUGGAACUGAGACACGAUCCAGACUCCUACGGGAGGCAGCAGUAGGGAAUCUUCCGCAAUGGGCGAAAGCCUGACGGAGCAACGCCGCGUGAGUGAUGAAGGUCUUCGGAUCGUAAAACUCUGUUAUUAGGGAAGAACAAAUGUGUAAGUAACUAUGCACGUCUUGACGGUACCUAAUCAGAAAGCCACGGCUAACUACGUG